rnacentral:rRNA from 1 species
UACAGAGGGGGCAAGCGUUGUUCGGAAUUACUGGGCGUAAAGGGCGCGUAUGCGGCCUGCUAAGUCGAACGUGAAAUCCCCAGGCUCAACCCGGGAACUGCGUCCGAUACUGGCUGGCUUGAAUCCGGGAGAGGGAUGCGGAAUUCCAGGUGUAGCGGUGAAAUGCGUAGAUAUCUGGAGGAACACCGGUGGCGAAGGCGGCAUCCUGGACCGGCAUUGACGCUGAGGCGCGAAGGUCAGGGGAGCAAACGGG